rnacentral:misc_RNA from 1 species
GUUAGUCAAUACAAUAGCAAAUAAAUAAGGAGGAGAAGGGAGGAUAUUUGAACUUGGGCACCUUCCCCAAAUUCAGCAAAAAUGGACUUCUAGGCCCAAUUCUCCAAAAAUCUUGCAGCAUUUUAAAUGGAACUUUGUCUCAUUUCUCUUGAAAAUCUUGUAUACAUUUGAUGUAUAUUGUUGUAUGUGACUCAUAACCGAUCCAUUUUUCAAAUUUUUGAAACCUGUAUUUUAUUUGCAUUUUGUAUUUCUGCCUUUCUCAACCUGUGUUCCACGUUUUGAACCUGUAUACCAAUAUGUUUGUCUGUAUACCAUAUGUACAACCUCUUUUGUGGGCUUUCCGGUCACCUAAACUUCAAUAUCCAUCCUCUCGU